ACCAGCCUUCUCACGCUCACUCAGAGACCCCAGUGCCAGCCCAGCAAUGCCCCUCCUCAGAGCUCUGAGUCUUGGCCCUUUGAGAACCCUCCUUAAAUUUCUACAUUAAUAAUUCCAGAUCCCUCCUUUUUUUCUCCCAAUCGUAAUGGUGGGAGCUACUUCCUACAGUUGCUACCUCAGUGAUACUGUAGUAUCUUUUUACCCUUUCAGAUGUCUAGGUAGAAACUUUGUACCCAGUCAACAAUUUCUUAUAGUUAAUUCUUUCUGUUGAAAUAACUGGUGUAGUUUCUGUCUCCUGCUGGGACUCCACCUGGUACAGUGAGAUUGAGAGAGAGAGGCUGGGAGGAUCAGUCAUCUGCAGACAGCUGAGCAUUGUGGGAGGGGCCAGGCCGUUGACUGUGCCCCUGAUGUCGAUGGACAUGAUUAACUGAAGAAUCCAAAGGUUGCUUACAGUGUUUCAGGCGCUGGAUGAAGGUGCCUGCUUAAUUCAGGCCCUCAGGGUCUGGACAGCCAUCUCCGGCCUCCGUGAUGAUUCACCUUCAGCUCCGAAGGUGGUGGGGACAGAUGAAUCACCAUCGUUUCAGAAGGAACAGCUAAUGGAAAGAAGCUAGUUUUGUGAUCUGACUAAGGCAAUUAUACAUUCCCAACCCAUAGGAAGCGCCGGCAUUCACAAAGUCUACCCAGCCUGCAAGGGAACGGGAUAUCAGAGGCUGGGGGUAUUCUAGGAAACUUGGAUGUAUGGCUGACAAAAGUCAUAUGAAUUUGAAGUCAGGGUCUUGGGAUAGCCUGAACUCUCUAAAAGGAGGGUUACCCUACAAGGACUGAUAUGUUUCCUAAAGCAUACAUUGCCUUCCUGGUAACAGCAGCUGUAGUGAUGCAACAAUAAUGAUUGCAGUGCACCAAAUAGUCCCGAGAUGCUGAAGUCCAAGGCCUUCGCCUGACAAUCCCUGGGAGAUCCAUUUGUGAAGUCAACUCUGAGACAGGCAGACUUCCCAGAGCUGGUGGCCAUGCUGCCUGGAUUCCACGUGGGACCAACCUGACCAGCUGGUCUGCUGAGUGGCCCCAGGGAGGCCCAUCUAAGGAGGGGUAAAUGAGGUGUAGCUGUGAGCUCCUUACUCAGCUGCAGCAGACAUCUGCCACUCUAUGACCAUUUUCAUCCUCUUUAGUCACAAAAACCAACCCUCCCCUCUACCCCACACUGACCCAGGGCUUUCUUUUCUGACCGUUCAGAGGUCCCUGGGCUACUCAAUGAUGGCAGUAGCCCAUUGCUUUUAGGCUAGCUUUUAAGUGUCCAUCCUGCCCACUGAUGAACUUGGCAGUGACGUUUUCAGGGCUCACCACUGUGGCCCUAGGCUGUGUUGAUUUCUAUCCUGUGGUAACUUAACACACAAACACGCAUGGGCGCACACACCCCACAGACCGUACCCACACAUGCACACUCAGAGGUUCCCCAUCAAUGGGACAAAACCAAAUGUGGGAAUCUUUUCUUGAGUGGGGACAGCUAGACCACCACAAAAGGUAGAGUUGUUGCAUUAACUUCUUAUUGUACUUAGAAUUCAGCUCUGUUUAAGUAGCAUUGUUUUCUUUUUCCUGGGGGUGUUGAUGGGAAAGGACCUGGUUCUCUCCAUAUCAUUAGGAACGUUCCUCCUGCACACCACACUCCAGGGCUUUACCUCUGGAGGUGCGCUUCAAAGUUAGAAAGAACACUCCAUUCUUGUUGGCUUUCGCUUCUUUCAUGCAACAGAUGUUCAGCACCUACUAUGUGUAAGAUCCCCGUGAGGCUUCGGAAGAUGUAAAAAUGCAUAAUCCUACUAAGUGAAGUAAGUCAGACAGAGAAAGACAAAUAUCAUAUGAUAUUGCUUAUAUGCAGAAUCUUAAAAGAAAAUGAUACAAAUGAACUUAUUUACAAAACAGAAACAGACUCACAGACUUAGAGAACAAACUUAUGGUUACCAGGGGGGAAGGGUGGGGAGAGGGAUAGAUUGGGAGUUUGGGUUGACGUGUAUACACUGCUAUAUUUAAGAUAGAUAACCACUUCGUCCCAGCUUCCUCCUUCCCCCUUGUGUCCUCAAGUCCAUUCUCUAUGUCUAGAGUAGCAUUGACAUAUAUACACUACCAAAUGUAAAAUAGUUAGCUAAUGGGAAGCA